CGACUCAUUCAAGCUCGUUCAACGGGGUGACUCACGAGUUCAUUUGUAACUCUUUACUGUGCCCUGUGGAAGGUCCCCGGGCACGUGGUAGAAAGUAUCUUCGAAGUCUAGCGGCUUCCAAAGGCAGUUGGGCAUGCGCGCUACUCCAAAUGACGAGAUACCCUUCGGUAGAUUGUCAGGCGUUGCGUCCGCCGCCUAGAGGCCAGAGCAAAGGAAAUGAACGUGGCCACGGUUGUGGGGCUCGACGUCUGGUCGACGGGACGUGUAAAGUAGUACCCACAACGUAAUACUUGGCAACAAGACGGGGCCCACUCUGAGUGAGUU
rnacentral:RNase_MRP_RNA from 1 species